CCUACGGGAGGCUGCAGUGGGGAAUAUUGGACAAUGGGGGCAACCCUGAUCCAGCCAUGCCGCGUGUGUGAAGAAGGCCCUCGGGUUGUAAAGCACUUUCAGUGAGGAAGAACGCCUGGUGGUUAAUACCCAUCAGGAAAGACAUCACUCACAGAAGAAGCACCGGCUAACUCCGUGCCAGCAGCCGCGGUAAUACGGAGGGUGCGAGCGUUAAUCGGAAUUACUGGGCGUAAAGCGCGCGUAGGUGGCUUGAUAAGCCGGUUGUGAAAGCCCCGGGCUCAACCUGGGAACGGCAUCCGGAACUGUCAAGCUAGAGUGCAGGAGAGGAAGGUAGAAUUCCCGGUGUAGCGGUGAAAUGCGUAGAGAUCGGGAGGAAUACCAGUGGCGAAGGCGGCCUUCUGGACCGACACUGACACUGAGGUGCGAAAGCGUGGGUAGCAAACAGGAUUAGAUACCCUGGUAGUC
rnacentral:rRNA from 1 species